GAUUCCCUUAAUUUUUUUUAUUAAGCUGGGCUUUUCAUAAAAGAAACAAAGCACAACAAAAGCAACAGAAAAAGUCCCAAAAUAAAACGAACCAAGCCCAAACAGAAAGGAAACCUAAAAAAGCCUAAAAGAAAGUCCAAUGAAAACAGCUCCCAAACACGCAACAACCAGGAUAGCACCGAACAAGAACAAGGAGCUGUUCAGAAAAUCCUUUGGAAAGCACUACCCAUAGCCAAAGAGUUGCUCCCAAAACCAAACAAAAUCAUCUAUGAUAGUGGCUCAAACCCUAUUGAAGGAGGCACCAUCACUGGAAAAACAAAGAUCCCGACACACAUAGAGAUCCAGAAUCCUGUCCGAGAGUCAACGAAAACACCUGCAAACAUCAAGAAACCAUCGAGACUCCCAAGCUUCCCCCAAUAAAACCAGAUCCCGACCGCCGCGAAGCUAACCAGCAUGAGGUCUCAGGGAGGAGGUCGGCUCCCCCAAACACAUACCGCGUCGAUCCGUCUCCACGGCCAGAAGAGCGAACUCUGGGAUCCCCCCCCCCCCUUCUUUGAAUAACACGGCCCUCACCCCGAAGGCCCUUAGUAGCCAACAGGUGGGCCACAGAGUUUCCCUCAUGGGGAACAUGCAGGAACCGACACAAAUGGAACUGCCCGAUCAAGCCCUUGAUAUAACUGAUGUAAUAGCCGAUUCGUCAUGAUGAUGAGAAUAAAGUUUACGAGUCACAGUCAGAGAGUCUCCUACAAAGAUUACCUCUUGUAAGCCCAAUUCGAGACCCAAUCGUAUAGCAUGGUAGCAGGCCAGAGCUUCCGCAGCAAAAGCAGAAGGUAUGCGCGUGGUUACUACUGAUGUGUAGCCAACUACGGAACCAAGAUUAUCCCUAAUAACAAUCCCCGCACAGGUCAUCAACGUAGGCGCGUGGAAAGCAUCAUCAAAGUUCACUUUUAAGCAAGAACCUUCAGGAUCAAUGCUCAGGUCCAAUCAGACGUCCAGGUAGCUUCGCAUGCACCGCGUCAAACUCCAACAG
rnacentral:lncRNA from 1 species